rnacentral:rRNA from 1 species
UACGUAGGGUGCGAGCGUUGUCCGGAAUUAUUGGGCGUAAAGAGCUUGUAGGCGGUCUGUCGCGUCUGCUGUGAAAAUCCGGGGCUCAACCCCGGACUUGCAGUGGGUACGGGCAGACUAGAGUGUGGUAGGGGAGACUGGAAUUCCUGGUGUAGCGGUGAAAUGCGCAGAUAUCAGGAGGAACACCUAUUGCGAAGGCAGCUCGCUGGGACGUAACUGACGCUGAGACGACGAAAGCGUGGGGAGCGAACAGG